CGGCCCUAUGCGUGUCACUUGUGACUGUGUAGAGGUUGAGCAGUAGGCAAGCGACCCGAAAGAUGGUGAACUAUGCCUGAGCAGGAUGAAGCCAGAGGAAACUCUGGUGGAAGUCCGUAUCGGUUCUGACGUGCAAAUCGAUCGAUAGACUUGGGUAUAGGGGCGAAAGACUAAUCGAACCAUCUAGUAGCUGGUUCCUUCCGAAGUUUCCCUCAGGAUAGCUGGAACUCUUGCAGUUAUAUUCGGUAAAGCUAAUGAUUAGAGGCCUUGGGGACGUAAUGUCCUCAACCUAUUCUCAAACUUUCAAUGGAUAUGGCGUCGCAGUUUCUUUAGUGAACUGCGGCGUGAAUGCGAGUUCCAAGUGGGCCAUUUUUGGUAAGCAGAACUGGCGCUGUGGGAUGAACCAAACGUGGAGUUAAGGUGCCUAACUUCUCGCUUAUGAGACCCCAUAAAAGGUGUUGGUUGAUAUUGACAGCAGGACGGUGGCCAUGGAAGUCGGUACCCGCUAAGGAGUGUGUAACAACUCACCUGCCGAAUCAACUAGCCCUGAAAAUAGGAUGGCGCUUAAGCGAGAGACCUAUACUCCGCCGUCGCGGCAUGUGCGUUGUCUAGCGCCAGGUCGCGACGAGUAGGAAGGACGUGGCGGUUGCGUUGAAGGCUAUGAGCGUAGGCUCGGCUGGAGCUUCCGUCAGUGCAGAUCGUAAUGGUAGUAGCAAAUAUUCAAGUUCGAUCCUUGAAGACUGAAGUGGAGAAGGGUUCCACGUGAACAGUAGUUGGAUGUGGGUCAGUCGAUCCUAAGGUACUGGCGAAAGCCUUGUAUCAUCGGUGGCGAAAAGCUUGCUUUUUGUCCCCGCCCGUCGAAAGGGAAUAGGGUUAAUAUUCCCUAACUGAGAUGCAAAGAUUGUGUUCUUCGGAGCACAAGCGCGGUAACGCGUUCGAACUUGGUAAGUCGCUCAGAGACCGAGCUAGAGUUUUCUUCUCUAGUUAAGGAACGGACUCCCUGGAAUUGGUUCAGCCAGAGAUGGGGACGUUGUUUCCGAAAAGCACCGCGGUUUCUGUGGUGUCUCGUGCUCUCUGAACGGCCCUUUAAACACCAAGGGAGGCUAUUAAUUUGCACUCAAUCGUACCGAUAUCCGCAUUAGGUCUCCAAGGUGAACAGCCUCUAGUCGAUAGAA
rnacentral:ncRNA from 1 species